GGUCUCGAACUCCUGAGCUCAAAUAAUCCACCCGCCUCAGCCUCCCAGAGUGCUAGGAUAAUAGGCGUGACCCAUCGUACUUGGCCAACGUCUGUUUUUUUUUGUAACCUUCAUAACAACCCUUGGAAAUCAUUAGGGCCAGUGGUAGCAUUAGCCAUGUUCAAAAAAAAUGUAUUCACUGGAUGUGGCUGUGGAGAAAAGACAAAGCUGUUGAAACACGAUCUCCGUCCAGGAGCUUACAGUCUUCUCGGGUGUGUUAUGCCUGUACGUGCUAACUACAAUGUGGAGUGAGAUAGGGGCCGUAAAAAAGGAAUUGAGAAAGAGAAUUGCUGACUGGGAAGAAUUAGAAAAGGGUUUCCUGAGGGGGCUAGUAUUUAAGUUGACAAGGUAGGGGAAGGGAGAGGAAAGGUAUUCUAAUCAGAAACUGAGAGCCACCAGGAAAGAACAAAGAGGGGAGCUGUGUGUAGAGUGGGUAGAUGAAAUAAGACCAAUGUGCCAACUAAAGGUAGUCUCUGUGUCCACUGUCAUUCUCUGCCUUAGCUCCCAGUUUUGUUUCCUUCAAAGUACCUACCUAAUUCACAACAAAUUUGUCUAUUUUCUUGUGUUUGGCCUGUUUGCUCCACUAGAACACAAAGCCCAUAAGGGUCCAUUGUAUGCCCAGCCACAGGGCCUGGCCCUUCUUCGCUCUUAGUAUUUGCAGAAUAAAUGUUGUAUUAGCCUGGUUGAAGCAGCAGUGGGGAUCCAAAGGCAGGCAGGAGAUGCUACCCAAAUAUAAGCCAGGGUCCAAGGCUGGAUUAAAGGUGGCGGAAUAAAGAUGAGGAAGGAAGCAAAGAAAAGAUGAAAAGACAGCGAUGGCAAUCAGCAAGCCAGAAAUAUAUGAGGAGUAAUUCCGAGGAAGGGAGACUCUUCCACUCUGAACGCAUGGAGGGAAAAUGAUAACCAGUAGAAUGGUGGGGCCUGUAAUGGGGCUGUAGCUCAGGUUCCCUAACUCCUAUGCUCCUAGUGAAUGUGCUGCCCAUUACACCACUAACCCUGUCAGGGAAUAGGCUGGACCUGUCCUCUGGAGUUUCCCAUAUGUGAUAACGUAAGCCCUAACGUGCAAUACAGUGCUGUUCUUGAAGCCAUGGCACUGCAGCUGCACUUUGGAGGCACAGGAAACUUUAAAAAUUCCUUUCCCCAGUUGUAUCCUGCUGACUUAAGCAGUGGCUCCUCCCUAUGAGAACUAGGAGGAUGGUAAUUCCUGGAGAGAUUGUCUGUCUUUAUAAGGAGAAAAGUUUGGCAAUGUGAUUUCCUGUAUGUUUCUACUGGAGUCCAAGAUUCCAGCAGUGCUAGCCUAGACAGCAGUGGCAGCCACCUAGAACCCAGAUGUCAUGAGUGCUCCCAAGUUACUGUGAGGGCAUCUUCCCAAGUGACUUUGCCAAGCCAAGAGGCAGAAUCACAACUUUAUUACACCUUCUAGAGCAUGUGGUCAAGGCAGUUUUCCAUUUGGCUGCUUUGGUGCUGGGGUUGUUUACAUGUUUCAGUAAAUGAGUUAUUGCUUAUUGAAGUUGGCUGGGUAGGAGUUCAGAAUAAACAACAUAUGACCACAAUUACAUGACUCUCAAGGAGCACCAGAGUUCAGAAGGAGAGAUUUACUUGUGUAAUAAUCCCGUGGUGCAGAAGAGAGGUACAAAACUUGAGUAUUCCACUUUCAGGUUUUACGGCGAUAUGGAGGGAAGAAACCAGCCACAUUAGGAAACAAUACUCAUCUCUAUGAAUGGAUACCCCAGAAUGAUCUUCUUGGAAGCUCCUGGAAGAUGUUUGGUACAGCAAUAUGAGGGAAGAAACCAAGAAAGUGGAAGAUUUGAAAUCUAAGAAACGGGAUAUUCUACAGGAUGAGGCAAACAGAAGUGCCAGUAUAGGUGGCUCCUCAAGCCUGAAAAGCAAUCAGCCAGACUGGAACAGGAGUAGGAAGGACUUCUAGAAGGAUAUAUCCAAGCAGAUAACAAAAAACCUGGUGGGUUUGAACAUGCUGAGAGGAAUUAUUUUUUACAGAGAAGUUUCAGGAUAAAUUAGUGAUAGGGUCUGGCACGGUGGUUCAUGCCUAUAAUCCUAGCACUCUGGGAGGCUGAGGCAGG